UGUUAGAAUGCUGUAUCGGGGUGCUCACUCUGAAACCAUACAAAGAUAAGUAUGAUCUCUGUGUAAGGAUGACAUGCAAAUUUGUGAAGCAUUCCAUGUUCUG